rnacentral:rRNA from 1 species
UACAGAGGGGGCAAGCGUUGUCCGGAAUUAUUGGGCGUAAAGAGCUCGUAGGCGGUGUGUCGCGUCGGCCGUGAAAACCUGCAGCUUAACUGUGGGCUUGCGGUCGAUACGGGCAUCACUGGAGUUCGGCAGGGGAGACUGGAAUUCCUGGUGUAGCGGUGAAAUGCGCAGAUAUCAGGAGGAACACCGGUGGCGAAGGCGGGUCUCUGGGCCGAUACUGACGCUGAGGAGCGAAAGCGUGGGGAGCGAACAGG